GGAUUCCUACGGGACGCAGCAGUGAGGAAUAUUGGUCAAUGGUCGGGAGACUGAACCAGCCAAGCCGCGUGAGGGAGGAAGGUACAGAGUAUCGUAAACCUCUUUUGUCAGGGAACAAAGACUGGGACGCGUCCCCGGAUGAGUGUACCUGAAGAAAAAGCAUCGGCUAACUCCGUGCCAGCAGCCGCGGUAAUACGGAGGAUGCGAGCGUUAUCCGGAUUUAUUGGGUUUAAAGGGUGCGCAGGCGGUCUGUUAAGUCAGCGGUCAAAGCCCGGGGCUCAACCCCGGCCCGCCGUUGAAACUGG
rnacentral:rRNA from 1 species